rnacentral:rRNA from 1 species
AGAGUUUGAUCCUGGCUCAGGAUGAACGCUGGCGGCGUGCCUAACACAUGCAAGUCGAGCGAGAACUUAUGUAAAGAAACUUCGGUAGAUUUACAAAAGGGAAAGCGGCGGACGGGUGAGUAACGCGUAGGCAACCUGCCCCAUACAGGGGGAUAGCCACCGGAAACGGUGAUUAAUACCUCAUAAAGCAUAGAUAACACAUGUUAAAGAUGUCAAAGAGAAUUCGGUAUGGGAUGGGCCUGCGUCUGAUUAGCUGGUUGGUAAGGUAGCGGCUUACCAAGGCGACGAUCAGUAGCCGGCCUGAGAGGGUGAACGGCCACAUUGGAACUGAGACACGGUCCAGACUCCUACGGGAGGCAGCAGUGGGGAAUAUUGCACAAUGGGCGAAAGCCUGAUGCAGCAACGCCGCGUGAAGGAAGAAGGCUUUCGAGUCGUAAACUUCUGUCCAAAGGGAAGAAUAAUGACGGUACCUUUGAAAAAAGCCCCGGCUAACUACGUGCCAGCAGCCGCGGU